GGAGGGAUGGCAGAGCGGACGAUUGCGACGGUCUUGAAAACCGUUGGGCCUUCACGGGCCCCGGGGGUUCGAAUCCCCCUCCCUCCG
rnacentral:tRNA from 1 species